AUAAGAUAUUAUGACUAAUAAAGUUACAACAAUCUUGAUCUAAAAAAGUCAAUUCAUUUUAACUAAAAUCUAUGCAGAGGGAAGUUAAAUGGCAUUAAAAAUCGUGUUACAUUGUUACCAAGGGACAGAGGGCAGGUGACGUUAUUUUAGAACUAAAUAUCCAAAUAUCUUUUCUUUGGUAUAAUUUUUAAAUAACCAGGAGAAAAAAGAGAAGGAAAGCUUGAGCAAUUAAGUAAAAAGCAGGAAAUGAGUAAGAAAAUAACAAGAGCAUAAAAACUCAGAAUUAAAAAAAUGGCAGAGACCCGAAUAUCAUCCACUGAUGAGAUAUUUAAAUAGUCAAAACCACGGAAUCAGAGAAUAGAAUGAUGGUUGUCAAGAACUGGGGGAAGGAGGAAACGGGGAGUCAUUAAACAGGUAUAAACUUUCAGUUAUGCAAGGUGAAUAAAUUCUAGAGAACUGCUGUACGCCAUAGUGCCUAUAGUUGACAAUACAGUAUUGUGCACUGAAAAAUGUGUUAAGAGGGUAGAUCUCAUGUUAAGUGUUCUUACAAUAACAAGCAAAAAACAAAAGCAAAAAUCCACGGAAGCACAAGGGAACUUUUAGAGGUGAUGCGUGCGUCUAUUACCUUGAUUGUGGUGAUGGUGCCAUGGUGUACGCAUAUGUCCAAAUCCAUCUAAUUGUACACAUUAAAUAUGUACAGUUUCUUGUAUAUCACUUCUACCUCAAUAAAGCUGCUUCAAACAUUUUUUAAUAAAAUAAAAUAUAGAAAUAACAGAUAAAGUUCAAAGACAAGCCUGCCCUGGGGGUGAAGAAGGAUCAGGUUGGGUAACGCUGGGCAGAGCCUCCUUGCUAGUGCGCCACAAAUGAGUUACAGGUUCAUUUGAUAACUGAAAUAAAUUAGUAAAAGUAGGGCUGGGCUUUGGGGUUCCAGCUACAUCCCUUGCUGCCUAUGUGACCUAGACGAAGUUAACUUCUAACCCUUAGUUUUGUUUCUGUAAAAUACAAGUAAUAAUAUUUUCUACUUCAGGGGGAUUUUUAAGGUUUUGAAUUAAUCCAGGUAAAGCAUUUAGGAUCUGGGCAUAUAUUCAUGGUUCUUUAAAUAUUACCAUUUGUGCUUAUUCUAAAGGAAAAUAUUGGGGGGCCAGUGGUAUCUCAAGGUCAAACUAUUCACCCAGAACUGGAAAUUAGGAAGUAGAAAGUAAGCAAACAUACUGGUAUCUACCUGGAUCCAGAUGACACUGGAAACCACGGGAAGGAGCCACAAGGAUAUAUGAAUAGUGAUUUCACACAAGGACUUACGUUUAUAUUCUAACACUCAGAGAAAACUUAAUCUGUAAUAUGAUUUAAAGAAAUAAAAACCUGGAACCAGAAUGGGGCUUUCUAUGAAUUCUCUCAACUCUUAACUCAUCACUUUUGCCCUAUUAAAAUGCUCCCCUCUCCUAAAGCCAAGGCCAUGAGGAGUUCCGCUCAGUCUGCUCCUCCCGAACUCCACUUUGCCAUCGGCUCUCACAAAGCUUUGUAUUUCAAGUUGUGAUGCAUUUCAAAUUCUGACCGUCCUUACCAUCUGCUUAACAAAUGUCAUCUUCUGAUGUCUGGCAUGAGCAAGAUGGGGUCUUUACUUCCAUACUCGUCAGUAUUUCUUUAGACAUCAAACUUUGGCUUGUUCCAGUAUCAACCUUGAUUUCCCCUAGGUCCUCCAAAAGUGGAGCUUUCUCCUCCAUUCCAUGCUUAAAAGUCAAAGUGGACAGUGAAGGCAUUGUGAACACUGCUAGCUGCUCACCAAAUCCAAUGGGCUCUUCUUCUUUGGCACUGGGCCAAACAGCACUUCCUUCCCAGACUCUCUUUUGGUAAGGUGCUGCUGUUGCUUGAUGAUGUUCUAGACAACAGUUUAUGAGCAGAAGUGAUGUGCGCCUCUUCUGAGCCUAGCUCAUAAAAGUCUCCCAUGAAUUUCCUCCAUGUUCUCCCCUCCCCCGCCCCACUCCCCCAUUCUGCUGCCUGG
rnacentral:lncRNA from 1 species